UGGGGCGUCGUCAAGCGGUAAGACACAAGAAUUUGGAUCUUGCAUACGGAGGUUCGAAUCCUCCCGCCCCAGCCA
rnacentral:tRNA from 4 species